rnacentral:rRNA from 1 species
UACGUAGGGGGCUAGCGUUGUCCGGAAUCAUUGGGCGUAAAGCGCGCGUAGGCGGCCCGGUAAGUCCGCUGUGAAAGUCAAAGGCUCAACCUUUGAAUGUCAGCGGAUACUGCCGGGCUAGAGUCCGGAAGAGGCGAGUGGAACUCCUGGUGUAGCGGUGGAAUGCGCAGAUAUCAGGAAGAACACCAGCGGCGAAGGCAGCUCGCUGGGACGGAACUGACGCUGAGGCGCGAAAGCGUGGGGAGCGAACAGG